UGGGGAAAGCAAGAUGGCGGCGCCCAUGGAGGUGGCCGUGUGUACGGACUCGGCGGCCCCGAUGUGGAGCUGCAUCGUGUGGGAACUUCACUCGGGCGCCAACCUGCUCACCUACCGCGGCGGCCAGGCGGGACCCCGCGGCCUGGCGCUGCUCAAUGGCGAGUAUCUGCUGGCGGCGCAGCUGGGCAAGAACUACAUCAGCGCCUGGGAGCUGCAGCGGAAGGACCAGCUCCAGCAGAAGAUCAUGUGCCCCGGGCCUGUCACCUGUCUGACCACGUCACCCAACGGUCUCUACGUCCUGGCAGGAGUUGCAGAAAGCAUCCACCUGUGGGAGGUCUCCACUGGGAACCUUCUGGUCAUCCUGAGUCGACACUACCAGGAUGUCUCCUGCCUUCAGUUCACAGGGGACAGCAGCCACUUCAUCUCGGGGGGCAAGGACUGCCUAGUGCUGGCUUGGAGCCUCUGCAGGUAGCGCCGUGCGCACCCAGGCGUGCACCUGGACCUGCACCCGGGCUCAGGCGGGGAGAGGAGGUGCCAAGGCCCCUGGCGGGAAGGGGCUUCUCUCUUGGGGGCUGGAGUGCAGAGGACGGAGUGAUCAUCGCAGGGGUCCUGGCUGCCCAUGUUAGGGUCUGGUUUGUUCUGGGGGCCGUGGGGGCCCAGCCUUGAGUUUACUCGGUGAGGCGGGCCAGGCUGCUGAGUGGAGGCAGGUGUGUGCGUGAGGUGGGUGCUGGAGGCGUGGACUGCCCUGUUCCCUCCCCUCCCCGCCUGCUGAGCACCUGCCCCACCCCGCUCAGCGUGCUGCAGGCCGACCCCUCCAGGAUCCCGGCGCC
rnacentral:sRNA from 1 species